UGAGUCAUCAAUGCCCGCUGCUGCUUC
rnacentral:sRNA from 1 species